rnacentral:rRNA from 1 species
AAAUGAAUUGACGGGGGCCCGCACAAGCGGUGGAGCAUGUGGUUUAAUUCGAAGCAACGCGAAGAACCUUACCAGGGCUUGACAUCCGCUGGAAGGCUUAUGGAAACGUAAGUUGUUCUUCGGAACUGGCGGACAGGUGGUGCAUGGUUGUCGUCAGCUCGUGUCGUGAGAUGUUGGGUUAAGUCCCGCAACGAGCGCAACCCUUAUCCUUAGUUGCCAGCGCGUAGAGGUGGGCACUCUAGGGAGACUGCCGGUGACAAACCGGAGGAAGGUGGGGACGACGUCAAAUCAUCAUGCCCUUUAUGUCCUGGGCUACACACGUGCUACAAUGGCCCGUACAGCGGGUUUGCGAAGUCGUGAGGCGGAGCCAAUCCCUUAAAACGGGUCUCAGUUCGGAUUGCAGGCUGCAACCCGCCUGCAUGAAGUCGGAAUCGCUAGUAAUCGCGAAUCAGCACGUCGCGGUGAAUACGUUCCCGGGCCUUGUACACACCGCCCGU